CGGAGGAUCCAAGCGUUAUCCGGAAUCAUUGGGUUUAAAGGGUCCGUAGGCGGUUUAGCAAGUCAGUGGUGAAAGCCCAUCGCUCAACGGUGGAACGGCCAUUGAUACUGCUAGACUUGAAUUAUUAGGAAGUAACUAGAAUAUGUAGUGUAGCGGUGAAAUGCUUAGAGAUUACAUGGAAUACCAAUUGCGAAGGCAGGUUACUACUAAUUGAUUGACGCUGAUGGACGAAAGCGUGGGUAGCGAACAGGAUUAGAUACCCUGGUAGUCCACGCCGUAAACGAUGGAUACUAGCUGUUGGGAGCGAUCUCAGUGGCUAAGCGAAAGUGAUAAGUAUCCCACCUGGGGAGUACGUUCGCAAGAAUG
rnacentral:rRNA from 1 species